rnacentral:rRNA from 1 species
UACGGAGGGUGCGAGCGUUGUCCGGAAUCACUGGGCGUAAAGGGCGCGUAGGUGGCGCGGGCAGUCAACGGUGAAAGUUCGGGGCUCAACCCUGAAUCGGCCGUCGAUACUCCCGGGCUUGAGCACUGUAGAGGAGGGUGGAAUUCCGGGUGUAGCGGUGGAAUGCGUAGAGAUCCGGAAGAACACCAGUGGCGAAGGCGGCCCGCUGGGCAGUGGCUGACGCUGAGGCGCGACAGCGUGGGGAGCAAACAGG